rnacentral:rRNA from 1 species
UACGGAGGAUGCAAGCGUUAUCCGGAAUGAUUGGGCGUAAAGCGUCCGCAGGUGGUUGUGUGUGUCUAUUGUCAAAGCAUCAUGCUUAACAUGAUAAAGGCAGUAGAAACUACACGACUAGAGUGCGUUCGGGGCAGAGGGAAUUCCUGGUGUAGCGGUGAAAUGCGUAGAGAUCAGGAAGAACACCGGUGGCGAAAGCGCUCUGCUAGGCCGCAACUGACAAUGAGGGACGAAAGAUAGGGGAGCGUAUGGG